AAAGUGCUGGGAUUACAGGCAUGAGCCACUGCGCCUGGCCUCAAUCAUAGACUUUUAAAAAGAUUUCUGUUCUGAUAAUUCCAACCUCAUGGCCACAUAUAAGUCUGGUCCUUAUGCUUGCUCUGGCUCUUCAAACUGUGUUUUUUGCCUUCUAGUAUGCCCUGUAAUUUUUUUUUCAUAGCUGAUUAUAAUGUUCUGAGUAAAAGAAACUGUGAUAAAUAGGCCUUUAGUGAUGUCAUAAUACAGUGUGGAAAAAGGGGAUGUGUUCUAUAAGCCUGUGAUUAGGUCUUAGUCUUUUGGUGAGCCUGUGACCUGGACCGUGAACUUUACCAGUGCUGCUCUUUUUUUUCUCCUCCUUAGGUGGUACAGGGCAGCCUUCCAACAUGUGAAAAACUAGAGGACCCUGGAGUUGGGUAUUUUUUUCCCCAGACAGAUCAGACUUUGAUAAAACCUCAGAAGAAGCACAAGAGGACUUUCUCAUCUGAUAUUUACCAUGAGGACCUAGUAGAUAGAGCUCCUAAAGGUCAAACUCAUAAAAGUAUGUAGCCCCCCCCCACUAUGACUGGGUACCCUUGGAGUUUUUAAUUCUCAAAGUUGUUUCACACUGAGCCUUCAGCAAUUUGCCAAUUACAGUUUAAUUUUUUCUACCCCCACAAUGGUUGCUAUGGAGGUUUCUGCUCAUGGAUCUCUGCUUCAAACCAGCCCUACAAAAACAAAGAAAAAAGAACAGAAAGGAAGCAGCAAUCAGCUAUGAGCAAUAAUUAGACAUUUGUUUGCUAGCUCUAGCACAUGUGACC